rnacentral:lncRNA from 1 species
UUGAGAGGGCUGAUUUGGGGGAUGAUGAUGUCUCCACCAUAACAAUUUACUUCGACCCGGUUGAUUUGUCAACUCUGGCGGAGGCGGCUCCAGUUACCAUCACGGUACCUGGACCAAUUCCCUAUGACAAAGAUGAUGCCGUGCCGUGGCAUUAUGGGGGAGAGGUCUACUGCAAUAGAGAGAAGGUAGAAGACCCAGCUACAAGUGAAACCACCGUUUCAAAGGUGGAUAAUGUCGGUCCCAGCGGUUUCACUCGUAGUGGAAGACUGUUUGCUCCUGAU